AGUUUCUAGCUCUAGCUAACUACACACACCCGGUUUAAGUUUGCAUGGAAAAAGUCCUACAUUUCCUCUGCGUGACUGUUCUAUUAGGUCGUCGUGUUGAUCGCACGAAAGAAAGAUGUCCCCCAUACGUGGGGGUAUCGACAGCUAUCCCAGGGUCUGCUGCUGCUGGACGGCACCGUUGGCGUUGCGUCGAUGAGGAAUCGAACUCUUCGCAUGCAACAGAUGCAUGCCCAAAUGAACGGUCGGUCGGUCCGCAAGGCAGCGGUCACUGGAAUUGUCGGUUUCGAGCGAGUUAUCAUUAUUUUAGAUCAUUUCGUCGAUUUUUGCAUAAUGACCAGCUGUUGCUGGCUGGGCACUGCGCUACCGAGGCUGCUGUUGCAGAGAGCACUGGUGUUAUUGCGAAUUCACCGCAUCUACGUGAGCGAUAGAGAUGCUGUUGAACAGUAGUUCACAAGCGAAUAAUUGCUGGAUUUUCAUUCAUUGGCGUUAAGAACUUCAACAAUUUUUAUUUAUCUUACAUUUUAUACAUAUUCGCUUCGAAAAUAACAAGUUCUACUGAAGAAACUUGAGUUAAAUAGAUUCCCAAUCGAUCCAUGAACUGCUAAAUGGUCAGAAGUCAGAGAAGGCUCUAAUUUAAAAACCAUGGAGAUGCUCAUAAAACACAUAAAUGAGAAGCAGGCCUUACACAGCUAGCCGCGUUCGGUAAUUUUUACCGAAAUCUCAACAGCUGAACGUUCGGUAAUGGUUUAUUACCGAAAUUCUGUAAAAAUACCAAAUUUCGGUAAAAUAUUAUCGUUUAUCUGUCAAAUUUUAACGAUGUUCGGUAAACGUCACCGAAUUUCUCUGGUAAAAACUUAACGGUUGAGAUUUCGAUAAAAUAUUACCAAAGUCGGAGAUUUUUGCUAAGUGUGUAUAGUCAUUACCGAGGAUUCAUUCCAACUAUUCGAUCAAACGAUCAAAUCUGACUAUACAUGUCAAUGGUUGCUACUCCGUGAUUGAUCUGAGCUGGUUCCAGUUGCACUGAGAUCCAAAUGAAUAAGGGCUGGGACACUCCACUUAUUCUCAAAGUGCAAUUUAAGCAGCUUAUACAUUUUGGAUCGAUAACGGCGCCGGCCACGUCCUUAUAGUCAGUUGGGAAGGGCAAGGAAUGUUAGAGUGUACUGGUUGUUGCUACUAGAGACCGAGAGCACUCUGCGUCCCCACAACCCGCACGGACUGGGGUAUUUGUUAGACGGAAAGGAUGGGAGAUCUGGGAGUCACCGUUGGGUCGGUGAUGCGAUCCAUGGAUUGGGGGUUAUUUAUAGUGUUCGUAAGGUGAUAGAUUGUGUGGUGAAUAAGGUGAAUAAGGUCAAGCGGCACAGCACGCUUUGGUUGCAUAACUUGUAGGCGUUAUAUACACUGUGCUCUGAGUGGAAGACGAAAGUGAGGGAAACGACUUUUUUCAAAUUCGUUUCUGGUUCUAGCGAUGGCUAUGAACAUAUGAAUAUACAUGAGUUGUAUAUGUAGAGAAGAGAGAGAGAGAGAGAGAGAGAGAGAGAGAGAGAGAGAGAGAGAGAGAAAGUUGAUAGA